rnacentral:tRNA from 1 species
GUCUGUUUGGGGUCUAAUGGUUAGCGCUUCGGACAUGUAACCGGAGGGUUGCCGGUUCGAACCCCGACCAGUAGGCA